AACCUGUCGAAAUUGGUGUUAGAGUUUUCACGAACGUGCGACUCAAGGUUCCCCGUUAACAGAGCGCGUGGUUUUGUUUCAGUGCCUCCUCCGUUGUCAUUGUCGACGAAGAAGGAACAAGACAAGGAAAAAAAAAGAUAGACGUGCUUUAAACAGCGAGAUCUUUUCGUGGAUCGACUUCGGUGGACCCCGACUUUUCCGCGUUACGCUUCUUAAGAGUCGAAUUACGUUGAACGCGGCAUUGAAGUUCCUUCAGUACAGAAAUAGGCAGAUAAAUGCAACUACUCGAAGGUCUGCUACACGCCGCACAGACGGAGUAAAUCUGCGAGCAAGAUUGACGGAAACAGGAAGGGACCGUCGCAGGGAGAAGCGUAAUAUUCGGCGCAGAAGUUCUCGCGGAACGGGAUGACUCAUCUAAUUGCACGUAUUCUAUCGGGAUUGAGAUUCUUUUGAUCGUGGCUGCACUCGAAAGGGACCUAGAUUUCGUGCGUGUAAGUUUGGAAAGCGUCGGCAUGAUUUAUUUCCUGCCGACGAGCUCGAUUACGAGCUUCCAAAUUCUAUUUCUCUUUCGACUCUUUCGCCUUUUUUAAUUAAUUCCAAGUUUCUUUCAUCUAUAAUUCAUGACACGUUAGAAUGUUUAGAUAUCGUAGGAACAGUGGCGAUACAAUUUUUCAUUUUACACUUACCAUACUUAUCCAUACGUCCGAAUCCUCUUAUGCAAUGAUAUCGGGUCGGUGGGAAAGUAAUGUCGAUUUCACGAGAAUAGAAUAAUAUUUCAUAAAAUAAAUUUGAAGUUGUUUAUCUUACCAAAAUCAAAAUCAAUAUAAAUUUUCCACCAACUCAAUAUAAAAGCGAGUAUAAUUUUCUACACGCAUAAAAAGGAAAUGGAGGAAAAAAAAUUCUACAGUGGAAUAAGAAAUUAUUAUACAACUGCCUCUAUGGACGAUUCUUCGAUUCGGUCUUCUGGAUAUUUUAUUCGUUUUAUUUUUCCUAUGUAUAUAUAGUUAUACAUAGAUAUAUAUAUAUAUAUUUGAUCAUGUCGUUACAUAAAUGUGCAAUUAGUGGCGCAGCUCGUGCGAACGAGGAAGCGAACGAAACUAGCAAAAAAUAAUCGUUUUAAAUAUAUUUCUAUCCCGCUUUUAGUUCGGUCAAAUCUUUGUUCGAGUAGUUCCGUUCACCUUUUCAUUCGUGUUCGCGAAAUAUUCACGUCGUCCAAAACCAAGGUCAAAAAUACGACGAACCAUUCGUUCGGCACGAUGCCUACUGCGCCAUUGCAAAUGCUCAUUAUUAGCUAUCAUCGAUCUUUUCCAGCGGUGAUCCGGUUUCAGAUAUUUUCUUUUUUUCUUUUUGUAUAUUUUUGGAAACAGCACGAUACAAAAAUGUUCCACUUAACAAUUGGAUUGGCACACGUGUUAAUUCAGCAAAUCAUUAAAAAUAGUCUUCCCUUCUCAAAUAAUUUUUUUAAAAUGGGCUAUAAAAAGGACUUGGGGGAAGACUUCUAGAUGCCAAACCAGUACCGGAAGCCGGCGGGGCCAAGCAACUGGUACUUCCAGCCUUCUUCAGGCCCAAUAGAGUAUUAGCUAUACUAGCCUUCAU